AGCAGAAGAAAUGCAGCCAGGAAGGCCAUGUGAAAUCAAUUUCUGUUUAAUUAUUAAUUGCAUAUUGCUGUGCCGUACUGAAGAACUCAAUCAAAACCCUAUACUACCCAGCUACUUUUGGCUGCUUUCCUGAAGGCUUCCCAGAUAGCUUGCAGCUUGCUGGAUCAUCUCUUUACCGGCCCUACCAAACUUCUUUGGCUUUCAAGCAGCCUAGACGGAAGAUAGUCCAGCUAAAAGCACCAUCUGCUGACUUGAAACGGAAAAAGCAGCAGGCACCCAGCAUCUUGCAAGCUGGUCAAGGCUGUCACAAGACACGAGCAGCCAAGGCUACCUGACUUAGCAAUAUGUUCCAGUUUUUGCAAAGCUUGCAUGAAGUGAGCAUUGCUGGGAAAACAGCAGAAAACAGUGGAACAAGUAAUUUUUCGAACUUGCUUGAACACAAGUCCCC
rnacentral:lncRNA from 1 species